rnacentral:lncRNA from 1 species
CACCAGGAAGGCUGGAACAGCUAAUAACCUCACUCCUGCGGCACCAGCAUGGGAAGUACGUUGCCGGUGAUGAGACAGACCGUCUUGAACGUCACAGAACACUCAUGUCACUUCCGGCCACAAGGAUUCCUCUCUCUAGGCUGGAGGCCUGGAGCAUCGAGCACCAUCGCUGACUGGAGCGAUGCAGCUCGCGACGCGAGGAAGACACUGUCCGUCUUGGACUUAACCGUGUUCCAUACUUCCAUAAGCUGCUCCUCCUCAAAAUGAUGCUGCAAGGUUAGACCCUUAUUUUAGGCAAUAGACAAUUGUUCAGUGAAACUGUGUUUAGGAUGGGAACAGAAAAGUUUUCAUAGUCUGCGUAGUUCUUGUGAAGGACUUAUAAAAUCUUUUUAAUGAUUACGGGCA